rnacentral:rRNA from 1 species
UAGAGUUUGGAUCUGGCUCAGGACGAACGCUGGCGGCGUGCCUAAUACAUGCAAGUCGUACGCUUCUUUUUCCACCGGAGCUUGCUCCACCGGAAAAAGAAGAGUGGCGAACGGGUGAGUAACACGUGGGUAACCUGCCCAUCAGAAGGGGAUAACACUUGGAAACAGGUGCUAAUACCGUAUAACAAUCGAAACCGCAUGGUUUUGAUUUGAAAGGCGCUUUCGGGUGUCGCUGAUGGAUGGACCCGCGGUGCAUUAGCUAGUUGGUGAGGUAACGGCUCACCAAGGCCACGAUGCAUAGCCGACCUGAGAGGGUGAUCGGCCACAUUGGGACUGAGACACGGCCCAAACUCCUACGGGAGGCAGCAGUAGGGAAUCUUCGGCAAUGGACGAAAGUCUGACCGAGCAACGCCGCGUGAGUGAAGAAGGUUUUCGGAUCGUAAAACUCUGUUGUUAGAGAAGAACAAGGAUGAGAGUAACUGUUCAUCCCUGACGGAUCAGCCAGACGUGCAAU